ACCGGUGUUUUGUACCUACUAUAGUCUGACUAUAGAAGUAAUGUUUGGUUGGCGACUUAAGUCAGGAAACUUUGACAAAAAAUUGGCCAUUUUGAUCGAUGUUUGGAUACCUUUUGCCCUAUUUUCUAUUCAAAUAAUUUUUCAGAAUCAUAUUGGUGAUUUAUUGUAAAAUUCUCGGUAAAAUAUGUAAAUCAGACGACAAGGAAGUGAAUCAGAAUGAUCUCGUGACGAGCCCAUCCUUUACAUUUGAAUACACACGUCUACACUGCAACACGAGGAAAGACAUAAAUGAAGAAAUAUUUCAUUAUAAAACUGUGAAUUUACGUUGUGGAACGAAGGAAUGAGUGCUGAAAUGUAGAAAUAGUCGUUUUGGGUCAUAUUUUUUUGAAGUUCAAAUAAAGGUUUCACGAUUAAAACCAAAGAUUGGAUCUCCAUUAAAAGUAAGUCAGAGUAUUUACAGCAUUAUAUUCUAAAUAAAUUUCUUUUUUGAAAAUGGCUUCACCACCUGAUAAACUGAAGAUUGAGGCAAAUGGAUCUCGUUUAAGUAAACUUUUGAUAAAUAAAGGAACCCAAGCCUUAAAAACAA